AGAGUUUGAUCCUGGCUCAGGACGAACGCUGGCGGCGUGCCUAAUACAUGCAAGUAGAACGCUGAAGAGAGGAGCUUGCUCUUCUUGGAUGAGUUGCGAACGGGUGAGUAACGCGUAGGUAACCUGCCUUGUAGCGGGGGAUAACUAUUGGAAACGAUAGCUAAUACCGCAUAACAAUGGAUGACACAUGUCAUUUAUUUGAAAGGGGCAAUUGCUCCACUACAAGAUGGACCUGCGUUGUAUUAGCUAGUAGGUGAGGUAACGGCUCACCUAGGCGACGAUACAUAGCCGACCUGAGAGGGUGAUCGGCCACACUGGGACUGAGACACGGCCCAGACUCCUACGGGAGGCAGCAGUAGGGAAUCUUCGGCAAUGGGGGCAACCCUGACCGAGCAACGCCGCGUGAGUGAAGAAGGUUUUCGGAUCGUAAAGCUCUGUUGUAAGUCAAGAACGAGUGUGAGAGUGGAAAAUUCACACUGUGACGGUAGCUUACCAGAAAGGGACGGCUAACUACGUGCCAGCAGCCGCGGUAAUACGUAGGUCCCGAGCGUUGUCCGGAUUUAUUGGGCGUAAAGCGAGCGCAGGCGGUUUGAUAAGUCUGAAGUUAAAGGCUGUGGCUCAACCAUAGUUCGCUUUGGAAACUGUCAAACUUGAGUGCAGAAGGGGAGAGUGGAAUUCCAUGUGUAGCGGUGAAAUGCGUAGAUAUAUGGAGGAACACCGGUGGCGAAAGCGGCUCUCUGGUCUGUAACUGACGCUGAGGCUCGAAAGCGUGGGGAGCGAACAGGAUUAGAUACCCUGGUAGUCCACGCCGUAAACGAUGAGUGCUAGGUGUUGGAUCCUUUCCGGGAUUCAGUGCCGCAGCUAACGCAUUAAGCACUCCGCCUGGGGAGUACGACCGCAAGGUUGAAACUCAAAGGAAUUGACGGGGGCCCGCAC
rnacentral:rRNA from 1 species